UCAGACAUCGUGUAAUGGGAGCACAGCCUCUUGUUCUAGGCAGCGUCGAGCAAGAAUUGAGAGGCAGUCCAGGGUUCAACUCCCUGUGUCUGAA